rnacentral:rRNA from 1 species
AUUGAACGCUGGCGGCAGGCUUAACACGUGCAAGUCGAGCGGGGUGAUGGUGCUUGCACUAUCACUUAGCGGCGGACGGGUGAGUAAUGCUUAGGAAUCUGCCUAUUAGUGGGGGACAACAUCUCGAAAGGGAUGCUAAUACCGCAUACGUCCUACGGGAGAAAGCAGGGGAUCUUCGGACCUUGCGCUAAUAGAUGAGCCUAAGUCGGAUUAGCUAGUUGGGGGGGUAAAGGCCUACCAAGGCGACGAUCUGUAGCGGGUCUGAGAGGAUGAUCCGCCACACUGGGACUGAGACACGGCCCAGACUCCUACGGGAGGCAGCAGUGGGGAAUAUUGGACAAUGGGGGGAACCCUGAUCCAGCCAUGCCGCGUGUGUGAAGAAGGCCUUAUGGCUGUAAAGCACUUUAAGCGAGGAGGGGGCUACUUUAGUUAAUACCUAGAGAUAGUGGACGUUACUCGCAGAAUAAGCACCGGCUAACUACGUGCCAGCCGCCGCGGUAA